rnacentral:rRNA from 1 species
GAUGAACGCUAGCGGCAGGCUUAAUACAUGCAAGUCAAGGGGUAGCAAGAUUGUAGCAAUACAAUUGUUGACGACCGGCAAACGGGUGCGGAACACGUACACAACCUUCCUACAAGUGGGGAAUAGCCCAGAGAAAUUUGGAUUAAUACCCCGUAACAUAGCGAUGUGGCAUCACAUUGCUAUUAUAGCUUCGGCGCUUGUUGAUGGGUGUGCGGCUGAUUAGAUAGUUGGCGGGGUAACGGCCCACCAAGUCUACGAUCAGUAGCUGAUGUGAGAGCAUGAUCAACCACACGGGCACUGAGACACGGGCCCGACUCCUACGGGAGGCAGCAGUAAGGAAUAUUGGACAAUGGACGCAAGUCUGAUCCAGCCAUGCCGCGUGAAGGAUUAAGGUCCUCUGGAUUGUAAACUUCUUUUAUAAGGGACGAAAAAAGGUCUUUCUAGAUCGUCUGACGGUACCUUAUGAAUAAGCACCGGCUAACUCCGUGCCAGCCGCCGCGGUAAUAC